ACUGGUAAGUUUUAUCAGUCGACUAGUCGUUAUCGCCUAUGUAAAUAAAUUUUGACGAUUUAAUUUACGACUUUAAAUUUCCUAAUGGUGGUUUAAAACUUUAUUCAGUAUGACUGACUGUGACAUCUUUCAGUGCAGUGUAAUCAAACUUGUUUUAAUCAACCCAUUUGAAGUAGACGUACCCAGUGCAAUGGACCAGGCAAGAAACUCAGACUCUUCAUUUAUUAUGUAUUAGGUAUAUGCCACUACAAAAUUUCAAUCAUCCUGUUUUACGUAUGCAGCCUGUCAAUAUUUGGUAACCUUCCGUUUCAAUUCGAUGUUGUGAAAAUUAUGAAAACAUCAAUAAGCAUGAAAUGGAAUGGACAACGUUGAAUUCAACAACCUGCUCGACUACUUCAAGAUAAAAUAUAAAAUGAAACUAGCUUCGCUUCCUCUUCAUCCGCUUCGCUGCUGGCUUCUUCUUCGACGGUUGUUGGUUUGCAAGUUUCGCUUCCUCUUCGUCAGUUUCGCUGCUGGAUUCUUCUGCAAUGGGUCAGUGAAUCGGUCAAAUCGGGCAUGGGCAUGCCUGGCUCAUGCACCUAUAAGUACAAUGUGCCACUUGAAAGGCCCGAUCUCACUACUACGAGUAGUUAGCUCCUGCUCCGUUCGGAUACUUGAUCAGUCAGCGUCACUGGAAUAAUAAGCACUUCAAUUGGAUAUCCUGCAAGAAUUGAAAACAUUUCAAUAAAAAAAAAAAUGGAAGUGUAAAUUCAGAAUCUUAUGCUUUAAAAAAAAAUUAUUAGCAUAUUAUGCAGCUUUCAAUGUGUAGUGUGUACUUUCAGAAUUUAUAAAUACUCUGAUACCUA